GACAACGUGCCAGAGUGGUUAAUGGGUAUGACUCGAACUUCUCUGCAAUAGAUAUCAUAUGCCUUCGGGCGCGCAGGUUCGAAUCCUGCCGUUGUCG